rnacentral:rRNA from 1 species
UACGGAAGGUCCGGGCGUUAUCCGGAUUUAUUGGGUUUAAAGGGUGCGUAGGCGGCCUUUUAAGUCAGCGGUGAAAGUCUGUGGCUCAACCAUAGAAUUGCCGUUGAAACUGGUGUGCUUGAGAGGCCGAGAGGUAUGCGGAAUGCGCGGUGUAGCGGUGAAAUGCAUAGAUAUCGCGCAGAACUCCGAUUGCGAAGGCAGCAUACCGGCUCCUGUCUGACGCUGAGGCACGAAAGCGUGGGUAUCGAACAGG